rnacentral:rRNA from 1 species
AGAAGAUGGUAAGGGCAAACGGUGGAUGCCUUGGCACAAGAAGCCGAUGAAGGACGUGAUAAGCUGCGAUAAGCCACGGUAAGGAGCACAUAUCCUGUGACCCGUGGAUUUCCGAAUGGGUAAACCCACCAAGAGUCAUUUCUUGGUACUUCCUGCUGAAUAUAUAGGCAGGAUAGAGGUAACCGGGGGAACUGAAACAUCUAAGUACCCCGAGGAAGAGAAAUCAAACGAGAUUCCCCUAGUAGUGGCGAGCGAACGGGGAUAUAGGACAAACCGUCAGUUGCGCAAGCGCUGGCGGGGUUGUAGGACCAUUCAUUGUGGAGUUACAAAACUUCGUGGAAGCAGAAUAGCUUGGAAAAGCUGGCGAGACAGGGUAAAAGCCCCGUACGCGAAUCUGCGAAGACUCCCGAGUGGCACCUGAGUACUGCCGGACACGUGAAACCCGGUGGGAACCUGGGGGGUCCACCCUCCAAUCCUAAAUACUCUCUUGUGACCGAUAGUGAACCAGUACCGUGAGGGAAAGGUGAAAAGCACCCCUAGCGGGGAGUGAAAUAGUACCUGAAACCGUUUGCCUACAAGCAGUCGGAGCAGACUUUUGUCUGUGACGGCGUGCCUUUUGUAGAAUGAGCCAGCGAGUUACGGCAUGUGGCAAGGUUAAGCUAAAAAGCGAGCCGCAGCGAAAGCGAGUCUGAAUAGGGCGAGUGAGUCGCAUACCGUAGACGCGAAGCCAGGUGAGCUAUCCAUGAGCAGGCUGAAGCGGGGGUAAGACCCCGUGGAGGGCCGAACCCACUUAGGUUGAAAACUGAGGGGAUGACUUGUGGAUAGGAGUGAAAGGCCUAUCAAACCUGGAGAUAUCUCGUUCUCUCCGAAAUAGCUUUAGGGCUAGCCUCGGAUGUUUACCAAUGGGGGUAGAGCACUGAAUAGUUGCGGGGGCUUCACCGCCUACCAAGAUUAAUCAAACUCCGAAUACCAUUGGUCUAGAAUCCGGGAGUCAGAAUAUGUGGGCUAAGCUGUGUAUUCGAAAGGGAAACAGCCCAGACCGCCCGCUAAGGUCCCAAAAUCAAUGCUAAGUGGCAAAGGAUGUGCGUUUGCUCAGACAACCAGGAUGUUGGCUUAGAAGCAGCCAUUCAUUUAAAGAGUGCGUAAUAGCUCACUGGUCGAGUGGACAUGCGCCGACAAUAUACGGGGCUAAGCAUUGUACCGAAGCGGCGGAUCAGUACUUUGUACUGGUGGUAGGAGAGCUUUCUGUACGGGUUGAAGCAGUUGGAUAACCAACUGUGGACUGUCCAGAAGUGAGAAUGCUGGCAUGAGUAACGAGAGACAUGUAAAAAACAUGUCCGCCGUAAACCCAAGGUUUCCUGGGCAAGGCUAAUCCUCCCAGGGUUAGGCGGGAGCUAAGGCAAGGCCGGAAGGCGUAGUCGAUGCACAACAGGUAGAAAUUCCUGUCCCUCCAAAAGAGCGUUAUCACCAAUGGGGUGACGGAGCAGGGUAGCUAGGCGGGGUUCUGGACGUCCCCGUGAUGGCACGUAGGCUGAGAAGUAGUGAAAUGCGCUUCUCGUGUGGCUGAGGUGUCGGACGAAGCAAUUGAGUGAAGCUAGUAAGCCCAUACUUCCAAGAAAAACCUCUAGGGAGCUCUGAGGAGCCCGUACCGCAAACCGACACAGGUGGGUGGGUAGAGCAUACCAAGGCGAUCGGGAGAACUAUGGUUAAGGAACUCGGCAAAAUUGCCCCGUAACUUCGGGAGAAGGGGUGCCGGUUUCGGUGAAGGGAUUUACUCCCCGAGCUAAGAUCGGUCACAGUAAAUAGGUCCAAGCGACUGUUUAUCAAAAACACAGGACUCUGCUGAAGUCGUAAGACGACGUAUAGGGUCUGACGCCUGCCCGGUGCCGGAAGGUCACGAGGAGUUGUUAGCAUUAGCGAAGCAGCGAAUCUAAGCCCCGGUAAACGGCGGCCGUAACUAUAACGGUCCUAAGGUAGCGAAAUUCCUUGUCGGGUAAGUUCCGACCUGCACGAAUGGUGUAAUGAUCUGGACGCUGUCUCAACCAUGAGCUCAGUGAAAUUGUAGUAUCGGUGAAGAUGCCGAUUACCCGCGAUGGGACGAAAAGACCCCGUGAACCUUUACUACAGCUUAGCAUUGACCUUGGUCAUCCGAUGUGUAGGAUAGGCCGGAGGCUUCGAAGCGGGUGCGCCAGCAUUCGUGGAGCCAUCCUUGAAAUACGGCCCUUUGGCUGUCUGAGGUCUAACGCGCCUAUGGUGCGGACACUGCUUGGUGGGUAGUUUGACUGGGGGGGGCGCCUCCAAA